GCAGACUUAGACAAGCUAGCAAGAAGGUUCUUGGAAACAAAUCCUGAUUCUACAACACAGAAUGUACCUAUACCAGCAUAUGUAGAAGAAGUUGUUAAAGGUAUUCGUAGUGGCGAAAACACGGAAUGUCCAAUAUGCCUUGAGUCAGCAGAUGAUCCUGUGUUAACACCAUGUGCUCAUAGAAUGUGCAGAGAAUGUCUACUUUCAAGUUGGAGGACACCAGCAAGUGGACUUUGUCCAAUUUGUAGACAAAUGAUAAGGAAAAAUGAGCUAUUUACAUGUCCAUCCGAAAAUCGGUUUAGGAUUGAUGUUGAGAAGAAUUGGCAAGAGUCAUCUAAGGUUUCAAAACUGUUGGAAUGUUUAGAAUCUAUAAGAAAAUCAGGCUCUGGUGAAAAGAGCAUUGUGUUUAGUCAAUGGACUACAUUUCUUGAUCUUUUGGAAAUUCCUCUCAAGAAAAAGAAAAUUGGUCAUUUGAGGUUUGAUGGAAAAUUGGUGCAGAAACAAAGAGAAAGGGUGUUGAAAGAGUUCAGUGAAACUAAUGAGAAAACAGUAAGUAGUAUCAAGCUAUGUUGCUCCGACUCUCCAAAAUGUUGUUGAGUGCACGUCGGAUAAUCCAAAAGUAGUACAUUUUUGGAGGAUCUAACGAGCGUGCGACAAUAUUUUUGGAGAGUCGAGCAACAUAGUACCAAUAUGCUAAUCUGUUUUCUUGAAUAUCUUUUGCUCAGCUCUUCUAAAGUUCUAACUUUUUAUUUUUAUUUUUUAUGUCAAUGUGUUCAGAUUUUGUUAAUGUCACUUAAAGCUGGAGGUGUGGGCUUGAACUUAACAGCAGCUUCUAAUGUCUUCCUCAUGGUAAUCUUAUAUAUCUAUUUUAUAUAAUUAGUAAGUUGCCACUUUGUGACAAGGAGAUCACGGGUCCGAGCUUUAGAAAUAGCCUCUUGCAAAUAGUCCUUUUCGGACCCCAUGUAAGAUAAGGUUUCGCACAAUAAACCCUUGUGGUUUGGCCCUUUUCCGGGCCCCAUAUAGGAUAAGUUACAAUAAAUACUUGUGGUUCGGCCCUUUUCUGGACCCCAUGUAGGAUAAGUCUAUGUACAAUAGACCUUUAGAAGGGGAGCCUUGCGAAACUUGUAAAAUUGCCGCCAUGUCACCAGGGGAUCACUGGUUCGAGUUGUGAAAAUAAUCUCUAGUAGAAAUGUGAGAUAAAUUUGUAUACAAUAGAUCCUUAUCAUUCGGUCCUGCUAGGAUCUUUCUAAAAUAUGUGUCAGUUUCUCCUUUAAAUUAACUUUUGGAGGAUAUGGAUACACCUAACAUAAUAAUAUUUAUUUUUAAUAAUUUUUUCUUUUUAUUUUCUUGUCAUGAUUGGUGAUGUUCUUACCUUUAAUCAUUGUAGGAUCCAUGGUGGAAUCCUGCAGUAGAGGAGCAAGCAAUAAUGAGAAUUCAUCGUAUUGGUCAAAAGAAUACAGUUCGUGUUAGAAGGUUCAUUGUUAAGGUAAAGAUUACUCAUUACAAGAGCUGUCUCACAACAUUAUAUUACUGUCACUUCCAAAUAAUUUUCUUGAUUAAACCCUUGAUAUAAUUAAGAAAGAAUCCUAAGCUUAUUGUAGCAUAUAAUAUAUUAUAUUCCUUUUUUUAUUUCUUACCUCUCUUUGGUAUCUAUACUUGAGCCUUACUAAUUUGGAUUUGGGUCGGGAAGUUUCAUAUUGGGGGUAAAGUACUCCCAGCAAAGGUGACUUCAUACGCAGAUUUCGAACUCGAAAUCUCUGAUUAAGGGUGAAGAAGUACUUACAACUCCACAAUAUCUCUUGUUAGUUAAUAUAUUAUAUUCUUUAAGAUUACAAGUCUCACAUUUUAUAAAGUUUUACCAGUAAAUAUUCUGAGUGACCGACAAAAUAUAUAUAUAUAUAACUACAUAUUUACUACUUGUAAACGUUCAGUCGAAGCGAUACACAAGAAUUUGCAGACUUAGACAAGCUAGCAAGAAGGUUCUUGGAAACAAAUCCUGAUUCUACAACACAGAAUGUACCUAUACCAGCAUAUGUAGAAGAAGUUGUUAAAGGUAUUCGUAGUGGCGAAAACACGGAAUGUCCAAUAUGCCUUGAGUCAGCAGAUGAUCCUGUGUUAACACCAUGUGCUCAUAGAAUGUGCAGAGAAUGUCU
rnacentral:lncRNA from 1 species